rnacentral:rRNA from 1 species
ACGCUCGACACCUACGAGAGGCAGCAGUGGGGAAUAUUGCACAAUGGGGGAAACCCUGAUGCAGCGACGCCGCGUGGAGGAAGAAGGUCUUCGGAUUGUAAACUCCUGUUGUUGGGGAAAAAGAGGAUGGUACCCAACAAGGAAGUGACGGCUAACUACGUGCCUGCAGCCGCGGUAAUCUGAGCGGGCUGGCAAGGC